AUUGAACGCUGGCGGCAUGCUUUACACAUGCAAGUCGAACGGCAGCGCGGGCUUCGGCCUGGCGGCGAGUGGCGAACGGGUGAGUAAUACAUCGGAACGUGCCCAGUAGUGGAGGAUAGCUCGGCGAAAGCCGGAUUAAUACCGCAUACGACCUGAGGGUGAAAGCGGGGGAUCUUCGGACCUCGCGCUAUUGGAGCGGCCGAUGGCAGAUUAGCUAGUUGGUGGGGUAAAGGCCUACCAAGGCGACGAUCUGUAGCUGGUCUGAGAGGACGACCAGCCACACUGGGACUGAGACACGGCCCAGACUCCUACGGGAGGCAGCAGUGGGGAAUUUUGAACAAUGGGCGAAAGCCUGAUCCAGCAAUGCCGCGUGUGUGAUGAAGGCCUUCGGGUUGUAAAGCACUUUUGGCGGGAACGAAAAGGACUGUGCCAAUACCACGGUUCGAUGACGGUACCCGCAGAAUAAGCACCGGCUAACUACGUG
rnacentral:rRNA from 1 species